rnacentral:misc_RNA from 1 species
CAAUCGCAUCCAAUGCCAGAAGCAAUUGCGGCGAAUGUAUUGACUCCAGCGGCGGCCCAACAAGCUUUUUGUUGUUGUGCACCUAACCACAGACUCAUCAAUAUGUUUGCCAGUGUGUUAGCGAGUAUGCAGCAUCAUCAAAGCAACAAGAACAACAGCAACAGCAUGAGACAACGUCUAGUUUUAAGCAACA